AACUAAGUUUGUUAUUGGUAUGAGCUUUCAUGUGCAUGCACACUUCUUCAGAUACUUCUUCAGAAGUGUGCAUGCACACGAAAGCUCAUACCAAUAACAAACUUAGUUGG